rnacentral:rRNA from 2 species
GUCUUGACNUCCUUUGACCNCUCUAGAGAUAGAGCUUUCCCUUCGGGGACAAAGUGACAGGUGGUGCAUGGUUGUCGUCAGCUCGUGUCGUGAGAUGUUGGGUUAAGUCCCGCAACGAGCGCAACCCUUAUUACUAGUUGCCAGCAUUUAGUUGGGCACUCUAGUGAGACUGCCGGUGACAAACCGGAGGAAGGUGGGGAUGACGUCAAAUCAUCAUGCCCCUUAUGACCUGGGCUACACACGUGCUACAAUGGAUGGUACAACGAGUCGCAAGGUCGCGAGGCCAAGCUAAUCUCUUAAAGCCAUUCUCAGUUCGGAUUGUAGGCUGCAACUCGCCUACAUGAAGCCGGAAUCGCUAGUAAUCGCGGAUCAGAACGCCGCGGUGAAUACGUUCCCGGG